ACAGGACAGAGAGAGUGAGAGGAUGUGUUGCAUGACUUCUCCACAGAUUACAUCAAGUAGGUUAGAGAUUGUGAAAGGGGUUAUCCACUGUUUCCACUGAAUCUCUUCUCCCACAGUUAUUUUCUGGGACACUGCACUAUACAACUUUAUUUGAUGGCAGAACAUUCAGAGGCUGUAAGCUUGACACAUGGCAAAAUGCUUCUGCUGUUUCUGAGUCUCGGUUUGGUCACUUCUAACGUCCAGUCAGGAAAAGCAGGGGUUAACGUAACGUGUGAAAAUCAAUCGGUUGUAGCAGGACAGAACCACAACCUGACAUGUAGAGUGGAUUACCGUYAUGCAGAUCAGAAMAAMA